CAGCGGGGGGACGUCUACACUUGCCAGGUGGGGCAUGUCAGCCUGGAAGCCCCCAUCACCGUCCAGUGGGAGCCCCGUUCCUCCAGCUCUGCCAAGAGCAAACUGUGGACAGGGAUCAUGGGGGCCGUGAUUGGAGCGGCCUUCCUGGCUGUGGGGCUCUUCUCCUACCUGAAGAGCAAGAAAGCCACUCCCAUCCAACCUCCUGCAGCCCUCAUGGAUUAAUCCUGCUCUCUGAUGCAAAGGAUAUUUUUUUCUUUAGUAGCUGAUGAUUCUUUGUCCUGUUUGCAACCUCUGAGAAAUGGAGGCUGAAGGUGGCAGGUUGGGGGGAGGAGGAGGAUGGUAGCU